rnacentral:rRNA from 1 species
CUACGGGCGGCACCAGUGAGGAAUAUUGGUCAAUGGGCGCAAGCCUGAACCAGCCAUGCCGCGUGAAGGAUGACGGCCCUAUGGGUUGUAAACUUCUUUUAUACGGGAAGAAACGCCUCUACGUGUAGUGGUUUGACGGUACCGUACGAAUAAGCAUCGGCUAACUCCGUGCCAGCAGCCGCGGUAAUACGGAGGAUGCAAGCGUUAUCCGGAUUUAUUGGGUUUAAAGGGUACGUAGGCGGAAGAUUAAGUCAGUAGUGAAAUCCUGCAGCUCAACUGUAGAACUGUUAUUGAUACUGGUUUUCUUGAAUGUAGUUGAGGUAGGCGGAAUAAGUAAUGUAGCGGUGAAAUGCUUAGAUAUUACUUAGAACACCGAUUGCGAAGGCAGCUUACUAAGCUAUGAUUGACGCUGAGGUACGAAAGCGUGGGGAGCGAACAGGAUUAGAUACCCCGGCAGUC